rnacentral:sRNA from 1 species
GUACAAGCUCUCGCCUGCCGCCAUGUAAACGUUCUUUGCUCCUGCUUCGUCUUCUGCCGUGAUUGUGAGGCCUCCCCAGCCAUGUGGAACUACUCAUCACUCACUGCAGAUGUUACUUUAAGACAUUCUGGAGCAGCGUCAUGUGCAGGUGAGUAGUGCCUCCUCCCAUCUCUCUUGCUCCUGGUCUCAUCGUGACGGGCCUGGUCCUGCCUCACUUUCUGCCAUGACUAAGAGCUCCCUGAGGCCUCUCCAGAAGCAGGUAUCACUAUGCUUCCUACACAGCCUGCAGAACCGAACAAUAAGGAAGUGAGUGCUUUUGUAAUUCCUGAACAACUGUGUCUUACACUUACUAAGGGAUUCAUGGGCAAUAUGACUGAAUAGGAACAGCUCCAGUCUGAAGCUCCCAGUGAGACCAACAUAGAAGUUCUCUUGCCUGCCACCAUGUAAGAUAUGCUUUUACUCUUCCGCCUUCCACCGUGACUGUGAGGCCUCCCCAGCCAUGUGAAACUGCCUUUGAGCUUAUACUGAAUUAUACCACCAGCUUUCCUAGGUCUUGAAGCUUACAGACAGCAGAUCUUGGGACUUCUCAGGCACCAUAAUCAAUCAUAGAUAAAUGAUCCAAUGAUUCGGAACUUGAAAAGUGGUAGCUUUAUGAAUUCUCCUUAAGAAGAAACCUGUGCCCUGAUCUUGCCUACUCACCCAAAGGCACUGUGAGAUAGCAUCAAAGGAACAGCUAGUAAGAGACACAGAGCCAGAAAUCAGGGAAGUAAAAUACACUUGACAUCUACGUUCGGAAAGAAAUUUUAGGAGGCAGAAGCAAAUGGAUCAGAAGCUGCUUAUAUUUUUGCAAGAUUACCAAAGAAACCAUUGGUGGAGAAAGUUCUGUGACCAACUUGUCUGAGUCUAGUAAGAUUGAACGCUCACACACAAGUUUCAUGAAGUGGGUUUGAUACUUACAGAUAAGCAGCAAGGACCAACAGAAGCUGAUGAUCUAUGGUGAACUUUUUCCCAAGGCUCCGGAAAGCUGCCUAAAGUAGAUGGAGUCUUCUCUGUGUGUGCCCCACUGGUCCUGCAGUUGAAGGAUCCGGUAAAGCAGCCUGCCCUUGGUUUUAUACUCCAGAGGAACGUGAUUCGCUGGACUAAAGCAUUGAAGUGCAUCCUGUUUCCGGGGGGCACUGGAACAGAGCCUGGUCUGUUCUAGCCAGUCCCUUUCUAUCUCAGGAUAACAUUCUACAGUUAUUCUUGAGAACUAUAAUCAAAUAAGCAGGGAGAACUGGGUAAGUCCAAGGCUUAUCUAUACAAGCCUUUAAAUAUUCAAGACCAAAAAAAAAAAAAAAAAAAAAAAA